rnacentral:rRNA from 1 species
UACGUAGGGUGCGAGCGUUGUCCGGAAUUACUGGGCGUAAAGAGCUCGUAGGUGGUUUGUCGCGUUGUUCGUGAAAACUUGGGGCUCAACCCCAAGCCUGCGGUCGAUACGGGCAGGCUCGAGUUCGGUAGGGGAGACUGGAAUUCCUGGUGUAGCGGUGAAAUGCGCAGAUAUCAGGAGGAACACCGAUGGCGAAGGCAGGUCUCUGGGCCGAUACUGACGCUGAGGAGCGAAAGCGUGGGGAGCGAACAGG